CUUUCGCUACAGCCUGCUCGCAGAUGUGGGACUAAAAAAUGCCUUCCGCCAUCGCCAGCCGUCCCAUCUCUGUAUUCAACCGCCAAGAUUCCUCCUUCCUCGAUGCUUCUGCGGCGAUGGCGAUGCGACGGCGAAGCGCUCGAGCGAUUUUCCGACCAAAAGAUGUCUAUGGAAAAGCCUCCAAGAAAACCUACUACUGAUUACUAUCUUAAUCAGGUGCUACCAAUACCCUUGCAGAGACGUGCAAUCAUCCGUGUUUAGCACAUUCUCACUAUGUGAUCCUUGUGUGCAAUGCUACAACAAUGAAGCAAUGGGAUCAGUUUGGUGGAUCUUAUGCCAUCAUAAAUUUUUCUUUGUUUGGAUUAAAUUCCAUUCAAAGCACAAGGUACGAUGCAAUUACAUGCCCCAAUAAAUGCUGCCAGAGAAGCAGUUAGUACAGUGUUGUUUUGAUACAAAUGAAGUUAGCAUAUCUCUCAUGUUAGCGUGCUCUUGUUCAACUUCCACCUCCAUCAUCUUUCCUUAUCUCGUGUGAAUUCCACAUUCUACCUCAAAUUGCUCAUUGAAUCUCUCAAUAGUCUGAUAACAGUGGAAACAAAUAGUGUGGAGUUACUCAAAGAGCCUAGGCACAUUUUCCUCUGCAAUUGCAUGAAGUAGUCUUAUAUCAGAAAUAAGAAGAUUAAAAUAGCAACACUUUUUUAUUGCCUUGUUAUUUAACUUGAUGUAGAGCUUAGAUAGUUAUCUGAAAAAGUCACGAUAUGAAACACAUCAUUUAAAAUGUGUGGAAAUAUACACCAUUUGCACACUUAAUUGGACAAAUUGCAAAAAUCCUUGAAUUUCCAUAAAUUUAGACGCAAAACCUAUACCAAGGAUUGCUUUCUUGUAUGAAACAGGGGAAAGUCUAGUUCAAGAAUGAAUGCUUCUAAAAUAAAAAAGUAAACUUCUGUUCUAUUGUCAUGUCUUGUGUAGUUAAUCACAGAAUCUUGACUGUCAAAAUUAAAAAAAAAAAUCUUAGUGUCAAAGUAUUGGGGGAAUUCUUGCCAUAUGUUUUCAAGUGGCCCAUAAUAUAGUUUCUGUAUGGAAGUAAAUCAAAAUAAGGUUAUUGGGAAAUAGUGGAACAUAAAAAUGGUUUAAAUGUAACUGAACUGAGGAUGAACAAUGAAUGCUUGUUUUUUAACUAACGACUACCUUAAGAUUUACAUCUUCAAGCACUAAACUAAAUUUAAAGUGUCUUUUAUUAUGUGUAUGUCGUCUCAUGGAUACCCUUAUAUUAUUCGCGAUGGUUUGUAUUGUCCUUGGCCUAAAAACAAGGGCAACGCCAAAAAUAAAGCUGAACUGCAGUUCCAAUAUUUUAUCACACAAUUAGUUAUUAUCAAUGCAAGAAAUGCCAUAUCAUAUUUUAUUUUACUUGAAAUGAAUAGUUUGUUGAUUACAUAUGCAAAGAUACUUAAAGCUUAAAAUGCAGAUUAAUCAAAUGGGGAUCUCCUUUGUCCUUCUCAUAAUGAUUUUUGAACUUUUAAGUUUUAUAUUGUUUACCAAAAUGCCUUAAGUCAUGCAGCCUCUGUGUUGUGAAGCCAGAAUUCUCCCUGUGAUCCUUGUUUGGUUCAUUGCUGCAUACAUUGGUGUGCCAUCUGCCAGGAACACCGCAAAGUGACAGUUUGGUUGUCCGACGAUCUUGCUAUGCCAAUGACUGUAAUCAACCCACCACUCUUGCAGGAAAUGAGUUAUUUUGCAGUCUCUCAGAUCAACUCCUUGCAGAGCCAGGAUGCUGAAUUGGAGAUUACAAGCGUCAUAGCUUGGUUGAAUGCUUGCAUUUAAGAAUCCUGUACUCGUCAUAGUUUGGUUGAAUGCUUGCAUAUAAUCGAUGUGACUCUCUAAACAUUGCCUUGACUUGGUAAAAGAGUAUGAAUGUUCCAUGUUGCAAUCGUAAAACACAUGCCAUUGAUGAAAAGGAAACAUAAAACUACUUGUUUCUUUAUUUUCUUGCCAUUUCAUGUUUGCAUGGAUUAUUAUUUUCUUCUGAAGCAGUGUAAUCCAUUUAACAUUUUACAACCUGUGCUUGCCUUCAACAUUUAUUCUCUUGGAACUGCUACAGGAAACAAAUUAACAUCUUCACACUGGAUCCCCAUCAAGAGUGCCAAAAUAAGAGAAGGAACUUAAAAGCACAGGAAAUCGAGCAAAAGACGCAGCUAGCGAGAAGGACGACACGGAAG